GCAUAUCAAUAAGCGGAGGAAAAGAAACUAACAAGGAUUCCCCUAGUAACGGCGAGUGAAGAGGGAAGAGCCCAAGUUUGAAAGCUGGCAUUUGUAUUCAGAUGUCUGCAUUGUAAACUCAAGAAGUGUUUUCUGCACCGGAUCAAAUUCAAGUCCCUUGGAAUAGGGCAUCAUAGAGGGUGAAAGUCCCGUGCUUGAUUUGAAACCCCCGGGGCUUUGUGAUACACUUUCCAAGAGUCGAGUUGUUUGGGAAUGCAGCUCAAAAUGGGUGGUAAAUGCCAUCUAAGGCUAAAUAUUGAGGAGAGACCGAUAGUGAACAAGUACCGUGAGGGAAAGAUGAAAAGAACUUUGGAAAGAGAGUUAAACAGUACGUGAAAUUGCCGGAAGGGAAGGGUAGGAAGUCAGACAUGCCUUUGCAGAUUCAGCCUUGUGCUUUAUUGGACUUGGUGCAUUUUUGUAUUGGCUUGCUAGCAUCGGUUUGUAUUGACAGAUAUAGGCUUAGGGAAUGUGGCUUAGCUUUCGGGCAAAGUGUUAUAGCCCUUUGCUGAGUAUGACAAUAUAGACCGAGGAUUGCAGCGCACCCAUUUUAGGGCGGGCCUUUCGGGGCACCUUUGCGCUUAGGAUGCUGGCUUAAUGG
rnacentral:rRNA from 1 species